GACAGAGGGUGCAAACGUUGUUCGGAAUUACUGGGCGUAAAGAGCGUGUAGGCGGCUACAUAAGUCGGAUGUGAAAGCCCGUGGCUCAACUGCGGAAGAGCACCCGAAACUAUGUAGCUAGAGUCCCGGAGAGGAAGGUGGAAUGCUUGGUGUAGAGGUGAAAUUCGUAGAUAUCAAGCGGAACACCGGUGGCGAAGGCGGCCUUCUGGACGAGGACUGACGCUGAGACGCGAAAGCGUGGGGAGCAAACAGG
rnacentral:rRNA from 1 species